GGAAUAUUGGACAAUGGGGGAAACCCUGAUCCAGCCAUGCCGCGUGUGUGAAGAAGGCCUUUUGGUUGUAAAGCACUUUAAGCGAGGAGGAGGCUACUUAGAUUAAUACUCUAGGAUAGUGGACGUUACUCGCAGAAUAAGCACCGGCUAACUCUGUGCCAGCAGCCGCGGUAAUACAGAGGGUGCGAGCGUUAAUCGGAUUUACUGGGCGUAAAGCGUGCGUAGGUGGUCUUUUAAGUCGGAUGUGAAAUCCCUGAGCUUAACUUAGGAAUUGCAUUCGAUACUGGGAGACUAGAGUAUGGGAGAGGAUGGUAGAAUUCCAGGUGUAGCGGUGAAAUGCGUAGAGAUCUGGAGGAAUACCGAUGGCGAAGGCAGCCAUCUGGCCUAAUACUGACACUGAGGCACGAAAGCAUGGGGAGCAAACAGGAUUAGAUACCCGGG
rnacentral:rRNA from 1 species